AAUCCAUGUUAUGGGCAUGAACUGACAAGAUCCUUGAACCAUUCCCAAGAUUGGAAGAAGGUCUCGUCUGCCUUUUGGGCGAAGUUCAUGAUUGACUUCCUUAUAGU